GCAUGGGGUCCCCUCGUUAGGCCGCACUCGUUUUCCUGCCCGGCAGAAGCCAUUAUGCCGCGCGGCGAAAUGCGGGAACAGUGCACGCAUCAUUCCAGCCUCGCCGACUCUCCAGCUUGAGCAUACAUGCACCAGCUAAAUUUUAGGCCUAGAUUAGUCGUGCUGAGCCGAAGUUAUCGCCUUUGGCGAAGUCGACAUGUUAAUCAGACUGGAAUUUAACGAUGGCGUCGGGACGCGAAUACGCUUUUAGACUGAUGUCCACGUAAAAGGACACAUUUUCCAUACUUCUUUCCAUGAACUUGGUUUACACUGCAGACCGGACCAAGAGGGCAGCA